CAGCUGUCAGCAGUGCUGUCCUGGCAUGGGACAUAUGAAUAAUGUGGCCUCUGGCUGCAUUAGGAGGUGAAAAGCAGGAGAUGGGGAGACCCAACAUCAGCAGUAAAUAUAACCAAGCUCCAUGCUUCCCCAAAUUACAGAAGGAUUCCCAUUGCUCUGUUAUCACCUUCAUCCCCUGAACUAUUCUUGGAGCCUCCCCUUCUCUACAGAUCUCAGGAAAGAAAAAAGCUGGGCCUGAUUUCCUUUUUUUUAAAAAUUAAUCUGCUAAAGAGGCUUAGAAGAACAUCAAGGAUGAGAGCAGAAAUUAAUGUUAUGAAAGGAAGUUUACAAGAGGAUUAUCAUCUGAAAAUGAAGGUUUUGUGGAAAAGACAAUUUCCAUCUUUGGAUGUGUAA
rnacentral:lncRNA from 14 species